rnacentral:tRNA from 1 species
AGCCCAGUGGUAGUGGUGAUGUGUUCCUGAUGAGUAGGGCGUGGGUUCGAUCCCCCCUCGGGCUG